GCCCAGCAUGGUGGUACAUGCCUGUAAUCCAGCUACUUGGGAGACUGAGGUGGAAGAUCACUUGAGACUAGACAUAUUAGGCUGUAGAGCACUAUGUUGAUUGGUAUCCACACUAAUUUCAGCACCGACAUGGUGGCCUCUCAGGAGUAGGGGACCACCAGCCUGCUUAAGGAGGGGUGAACUGACCCAGGCUGAAAACAAAAUGGGUCAAAACUCCCAUGCUGAUCAGCAGUGGGAUAGUGUCUGUGAAUAGCCACCGCACUCCAGUCUGGGCAAAACAGUAAGAUUCCACCACU
rnacentral:SRP_RNA from 1 species